GAGAUUUUUUGAUAGGGAUAAAGCUUCUAACUUAAAUCCCGAGCGGUUAGAUUCCGUUCCACUCUCG
rnacentral:tRNA from 1 species